GCCCGACUCAAGAAACUCAAAGGAAGUUGACGGGGCCCGGCACAAGCGGUGGAGUAUGUGGUUUAAUUCGAUGCAACGCGAAGAACCUUACCUGGUCUUGACAUCCCGGAGACCCUUAGGAAACUAGGGGGUGCUUCCAUCUGGAAGAAUCUGGAGACAGGUGCUGCAUGGCUGUCGUCAGCUCGUGUCGUGAGAUGUUGGGUUAAGUCCCGCAACGAGCGCAACCCUUGCCUUUAGUUGCCAGCAGUUCGGCUGGGCACUCUAAAGGGACUGCCGGUGUUAAACCGGAGGAAGGUGGGGAUGACGUCAAGUCCUCAUGGCCUUUAUGACCAGGGCUACACACGUACUACAAUGGCCGAUACAAAGGGCAGCGACACUGCGAGGUGAAGCCAAUCCCGUAAAAUCGGUCUCAGUCCGGAUUGGAGUCUGCAACUCGACUCCAUGAAGUUGGAAUCGCUAGUAAUCGUGGAUCAGCAUGCCACGGUGAAUACGUUCCCGGGCCUU
rnacentral:rRNA from 1 species